rnacentral:rRNA from 1 species
UACGUAGGGUGCGAGCGUUGUCCGGAAUUAUUGGGCGUAAAGGGCUCGUAGGCGGUUUGUCGCGUCGGGAGUGAAAACCAUGGGCUUAACUCAUGGCUUGCUUUCGAUACGGGCAGACUAGAGGUAUGCAGGGGAGAACGGAAUUCCUGGUGUAGCGGUGAAAUGCGCAGAUAUCAGGAGGAACACCGGUGGCGAAGGCGGUUCUCUGGGCAUGAUCUGACGCUGAGGAGCGAAAGUGUGGGGAGCGAACAGGAUUAGAUACCCCCGUAGUCC